GAGCACACCAGCCAGCCCUACUUAGGGACUUUUUUGGAACCUUAUUUACAGUUGUAUUGAUGACAUGGAUUUUUCUCAAGCCUGUAUUCACAAAGACUCUAUUAGGUCUGUUAUCUUGGGUAGAAGAGCUGGAGAUAUAUGAAUGACUGGAUGGUUUUCAUUAUUUUGGUCACAUAAUACCAAUAUAGGUCAUUGUCCUAUAGAAUUUGGACAGUAGGGGUUUUUUUAAUGCUGUUUAAAAGUAACUGCUUGGGAAAUCUUUUUGCAGUGACUACU
rnacentral:lncRNA from 1 species